UACGUAGGGUGCAAGCGUUGUCCGGAAUUAUUGGGCGUAAAGAGCUCGUAGGCGGUUUGUUGCGUCUGCUGUGAAAUCUGGGGGCUCAACCCCCAGCCUGCAGUGGGUACGGGCAGACUAGAGUGCGGUAGGGGAGAUUGGAAUUCCUGGUGUAGCGGUGGAAUGCGCAGAUAUCAGGAGGAACACCGAUGGCGAAGGCAGAUCUCUGGGCCGUAACUGACGCUGAGGAGCGAAAGCAUGGGGAGCGAACAGG
rnacentral:rRNA from 1 species